UCCAAAAAUUCAAUCUUUCAAUUCCUCCCCAAAUUAUCUUCAAAUCCUGUCCUCUCCUGGGCGUUCAGAGGUCGCCUAUGCCGCCUACCACCACUCCAACCACUGUUGACCACCGGCCGGAAAUUGCCUCUAUCGGCGAAGUCAACCAAACAACCUCAAACCAUUAUUUUUCUUCUCCUCUCCUCCCCCUCUACACUCUUCUGCCCCAAAUGUCACUCCAUCAUUACCAAAUUCGAAACCCUAUCCUGUUCGUUCCCUUCUUGAUUUCAUCGACCAUCAUCGAUCAACAAGUCUUAAUAGUUACAUCAUUAGAUAGGUCUUAGAGAGAUCAAUCUAGUAAUUUAAGUAUCUAUUCAUUCAAUGAAUGUCGGUGCCGAUCAACUCAUCAUUGAUCGACCGGAGUUCAUGCAAAAGCCCAUCCAUGCCACUGCCUAACCUCCCAAUAGCCCUUACUCAUGGUAGAUCCACCCAUUGGUGGAAAUUCGUAAGUAAUAAAGCUUUAAACUAGCUAAGUGAAUAUGAAGUUCAAGGUGGUUCUAAUGGAGAAAGGUCCGUUGGUGGUUAGAUACCACCAAAUCAUGCACCAUCUAGUCUCACCUGGUUCUACUUUACUCCGAUAGGUGCAGAACCACAGAAGCGAGAAAAGUAUAGUAGAAGCGAAACUUACACAGAAGUAGAUUCCUAACCGCAUAAGCGGAGCCGCAGAAAUGUUCAAAUAUCUGUAGAUGCGACUCGUCGGAUAAUUUUAAAGAUCCAAUAUGCCCUUCAGCAGGUCAGAGUCUGAACUCUAUUCUCCCAACCCAAAACCCCUCUCAUAUUUCACACAAGGAAACUAUUACUCGAAUCCUACUGCCUACACACAAGGAAAUCAGGUAAUCAUCUUUUUCCCUUUGUCUCUUAGCUACUCUCUCUUUUUCCCCGAUUUUCUUCUUCUCUCGUUAUCUUAUACUUUUAUGCAUAGCUAUUUCCCACAGCCUCUUUAUCCCAUCUCGAUAAUUGUUAGUGUUCGGGUGAGGAAAAUUGGUUAAGUGUAGUUGUAGAAGUCUGAGUACCCGAUUACUUUAAAGGAUCAAAACUCUCUCGUUUCUUGCUAAGUGUUCGGUGAUUUAUUCGAGAGAAAUUUAUGUGCUAAGUGCCUUGAGAUCAUGUGUAAUCAAGUUGUGUAAUCAUGUAGUGCACAAAUUUAGAAGUCUUGAGUAUAACUUUUGUGCCAAAAACGUGAUUUGAAUUGAAAAGAGUCGACAGUUUCUGGGCCCUUCAAAAUCUAGUGAAAAUCGCUUUUGUGAAGUAAAGGCUGCAUAUGCGUCCUGCACCUAUGAUGAAUUGUUAAGCAAGUGCGAAAUUGGCUGAGAUGUGAAAAACCGAAGAAGCAAGACUUUUACCACAUAUGUGGAACCGAACUUGCGAUGAAAGUUCUGCAGGUGCAAGUUUAUGUUGAGCAGUGAAAAUCAUAGAAGCGGAACCGCACCUGCGAUGCUUCUUCCGCAGGUGCGAUGACUGGCCAAUUUUUGCAAAACUAGUAGCUUUGCAACUAUGGCUUGCUCGGCCCAUUUGGCUCGAUUCUUUGGACUAAUUGAUGUAUUUUGAAUUUCUUAACAUGACUAUAAUGCCCGACUAAUUUUGUUUUGAUUUUUUAGGUACUUUGAACUUAAAAUAUGGACCCAAAGAUGAAUGAAAAUAUGGCACAUGAUCUUGAAAUUGAAGAAGAGGCUGUAGAAGAGCAAUUCGACAAUUAUCGCUUCAUGUCCAUUGAUUGUCACCACUGAUACUAUGACAAUCUUCUUAUAAAGAAGGUCCUACUGGAAAAGGGGAUCUUUGGGGAUAGAUUGGCCGAGCUACUUCCAGAUUUCUAUGACCGUCUAUAGACCACUGGUUGGAAUUGUUUCAUGCCUACUCCGUGUGAUGAAAAUUAGGAAUGGGCUUGUGAGUUUUACACCAACCUUAAGUGUAUAAACUUCAACGACCCACAACUCACCAUAAGGGCAAAAUAGUGUGAUUUGGACUUGAGCAGAUCAAUGAUGUUUUUUGGGCUUCCAAAGCAUCCACUUGAGUCGGUACGAGAAAAAAAAAUAUGCUCAAAUAGAGAGUGGCUAGCAUCUAAAAGUUAUCCCUCAAACAAGAGAGCGAAGUGGGCCAACAAGAGGAAGGGUUUAAAAUUCGUUGACUUCACAGCUGAGGUCAAGAUAUGGCUUUACAUCAUCUGUAAUGGAGUCUCUUCUUAUGGCAAUGUCUCUGAUGUUUCAUAUGUCAGAUUUUCAGGUACAAUGUCUUAAGCAGAGAAUCAAAAUCAAUUGAAGUGAAAUGGAGCUAAAAUAGUUGAAUCAGUUAAACUGCAUCCACUAAAAUUGUAUUUGUGCAAAAUGCUCCGCAUCUGCGAGAAAUGGUCUACAUCAGCGGAAGAAGAGUUAUGAGGUUGAAAUUGUAGUUGCGAACGAUGCAUCACAUCUGCAAUAUCACUUUUGUGCUGGAAGUUUGCUUCUACGGACUCGCUUCUGUGUUGAUAUGUCCGCUUCUACGGAGUAACCAAAAUUGCACAAGACUUGCAUCUGCGAGUGAUUGAUAAAUUCCGAUUUGAGUAAAUUGAUCAUAUGUAGCAGACUAGUGCUUUUGAGUCAUUUCUUGAGGCUUAGUUGUUGUCACUUGAUUAUUUUGAAACUCCAUUGCAUUCUUGAGAUUGUUUUAAAUGAGGGCAUUAUUUGGUUGAUAUUCA